CUAAUCUAAACUGGACAUUGUUUUGGAGGGACGGGGCAAAGUUCUCAACCGUACGCUCAGUUGUUAUAAAGAAUGGUAACAAGCGCGGAAGAAAUCAGAGAUGACCACGCAUUGGUGAUCAUUUACAGAUGAAUCAGACAGCUGAAAUUGUCAAAUCCCUAAAACAAAAUCCCCUAUGUACAUCUCCUUGGAGUUCCUUUUGUGUGCUGGGACUGUAACCCAGACGUUGAUGAAACGGGGGACUGGUGUCUGGUGAGGUCUGAUUGGAUUUUAAUUUCUGGAAAGUGUUUGUGGCAGCAGCGGGGCCAGACUGAUAAAGCGAACAAAACAGAAUGUUGAAUUCACGUCAUCAGGAUGGUCUUACAAGCCUACAAAUGUGUGUUUCCAGUGAGGAGAAAAAUUCCUCUAAGAUCUCUAAAUGUGGGCUCUGGGUUUGUUGAGAAAAGUCAAAAACAGCCUCUCAGCUUCUGAAGUUCUUUACAGCGCUUUUUCUAUGUGUUUCAACCAGUGGCAGGCCAGUUCUGUUUCCUCAGCCAGUGAAAGAAGACCUCCAUUAAAAACAGCAGGACGGAAGGAGUGGACUUUUACCCCCAUGUUCAUAGAAUGACUCACACAGCUGGCACCAGCUUUUAUUUAUGAUCGAGUUUUAUCAGUACGAGAGGGCUAAAUAUGACUCUUAAUAUCUCAAUAUUAAUUUAAUCAGUUGGCAAACCACUCUUAUCAGUAAUGACUCUGUUGUAAUAAUGAAUCUCUUGGACAUACAGUAGCCAAUAAAUUUUGAAAAGC